rnacentral:rRNA from 1 species
GAUGAACGCUGGCGGCGUGCCUAAUACAUGCAAGUCGAGCGAACAGACGAGGAGCUUGCUCCUCUGACGUUAGCGGCGGACGGGUGAGUAACACGUGGAUAACCUACCUAUAAGACUGGGAUAACUUCGGGAAACCGGAGCUAAUACCGGAUAAUAUAUUGAACCGCAUGGUUCAAUAGUGAAAGACGGUUUUGCUGUCACUUAUAGAUGGUUCCGCGCUGCAUUAGAUAGUUGGUAAGGUAACGGCUUACCAAGGCGACGAUGCGUAGCUGACCUGAGAGGAAGAUCAGCCAGAUGGGAAAUGAGACAAGGUCCAGACUACUACGGGAGGCAGAAGUGGGGAAUAUGGGACAAGGGGCGCAAGCCUGAUCAAGCAAUACCGCGUGGGUGAAGAAGGACUGCGGGUUGUAAAGCCCUGUUGUUGGGAAAGAAAAGAAGCAGGGUAAUACCCCGCUGUUCUGACGGUACACAAAGAAGAAGCACCGGCUAACUUCGUG